rnacentral:lncRNA from 1 species
GAACAUGGAAAAAACCUAAAUAGUCUAAGGAAAUCCAAAAAUAGAUUGUGCCUGGAGAUAAUCAAAGUAAAGUACUGAAAGUACAGAAAGGCUGGCUACCACAAAACACUAAAUAAAAACUGUGCGGGAAAGAUGUUUGCAAAACCUAGUUUAUCGGACGUUAACAGAGCUACCGCACAGGGGGUAUGUCUGCAAGUUCCUUGCUAGAAAAGAAGAGUGCUCACCAUUUACAAACCAAGGCUCACCACAACAGUUCAGUAUGAGGAAUAAUUGUGAUAAAAACAUUAACUAGCAUAAAAGUGAAUUUAACUUCUUCAUAUUGUGUAGCUGGAACACUGUGAAUUAAUAUUGUGACAUGAUAUUGUGAAUUUGACUUCUUGGUGUAGAACAGUGAAUGAAUAGUGUGGUAUGUUAUUUUUACUUCAUAAAUAUGCAGUUGUGACUGUUCUGAUGUUUUAUUAAUGUUUUAUAAAUAAAGUUAUUACUCUGAA